rnacentral:rRNA from 1 species
GACGAACGCUGGCGGCGUGCUUAACACAUGCAAGUCGAGCGAACAGACGAGGCGUUUGUUCCUUUGACGUUAGCCGCGGACGGGUGAGUCACAUGUGUAUAAUCCACCUAUCUGUCUGGUAUAUCUACGGGACACCGGCGCUUACACCGUAUAAUCUACUGCACCGUAUGGUUCAAUAGUGAAAGUCGGCUUUGCUGUCACUUCUAGCUGGUUCCGCGCCGCAUUAGCUAGUUGGUACGUUAACGGCUUAUCACGGCGACGAUGCGUAGCCGACCUGAGGGGGUGGUCGGCCGCACUAGAGCUGAGACGCGGUCCGGACUCCUGCGGGAGGCAGCAGUAGGGAAUCUUCCGCAGUGGGCGGAAGCUUGGCGGAGCAACGCCACGUGAGUGGUAGAGAUCUUCGGAUCGUGAAACUCUGUUAUUAGGGGAGAACAAAUGUGUAAGUAACUAUGCACGUCUUGACGGUACCUGGUCAGGAAGCCACGGCUAACUACGUG